rnacentral:lncRNA from 1 species
AGUGUAUCACCAAACAGGAAUCCAAAAGUCAGGAAUCCGGCGAUACACGCAAUCAAUCGGAGCGAGGUUCACACACACAGUCACCAAUCAGGAAACCACGAACAGGAAUCCGGCGACACUUCAGGAAGGAAUAGCAGAGCCUUCCGGUCAAACAGUGUGUAAAACUACCUACAAUGCAAAGCAAUGCAGCGGGGAUUAAUAGGGGUGGAGAGGAGUAAAGGUUUUUGGGAACACAAGGAGUGGCAGCCAUUAAUGGUGGGGGAAGCUCGAGAGAACAGGAGAUCAGAGGUCGGGGGAGAGGAAGGGCGGUGGAGAGGGGAAGACAAAAAGGUUAGGAGGGGAGAGAGAGGAGCGG